AUGAGACAGCUACACCGAAGUAUUGAUCUCCCAUGGAUUUUGUUAGGUGACCUUAAUGAAAUAUAGUUCUUGCACAAGAAAGAAGGCAGGAAUCCAUGUCCAUGUCAGUAUAUGCGAGCCUUCCAGAGCGCUAUUGAUGAUUGCAAGCUACAUGACUUGGGGUUUAUUAGUGACCGCUUCACAUGGCAUAGAGGGCGAGUUAGAGAUAGGUUGGAUAGGGGACUUGUUAAUGAUGCAUGGGAAACACUCUUCCCCAAUGCAACAUUGGAAAAUAUGGAGUACAUCCAUUCUAAUCAUCGACCCUUGUGUGUAAAUAUUGAAUAUUAUAACCAACACGAAGCACCAAACAAUAGACAACAAAAUAUAUAG
rnacentral:rRNA from 1 species